rnacentral:lncRNA from 1 species
AGAAAGGACCCAGUGGUCCUUGAUGAAGAGAAAACUCAGCACUGAGGCCAAAACUCUGCCUGAAUUGUAGCCCUGAAACUAAUAAAGGUAAAACCACCAUAGGCUUUGACCUUGGUUUUUAGCCCAGAUCUGCCACUCAAGUACAUGGAAUGGAACAAAUUGCAUCCACAAACUCAGAGGAGGGGAUCCCUUGGCCUGAACUGACAGAUGGAAGUUAAUAGCAGUGGAGGCUGACAAAACAAUGAAUCUUCUUUGCACUCUGGUAAGUGCACAUACCUGUGAAAUGCAGUGCCAAGGGACU